UACGGAGGGGGCUAGCGUUGUUCGGAUUUACUGGGCGUAAAGGGCGCGUAGGCGGUCGUGACAAGUCACUUGUGAAAUCUCCGGGCUUAACUCGGAACGGUCAAGUGAUACUGUCGGACUAGAGUACAGAAGGGGCAACUGGAAUUCUCGGUGUAGCGGUGAAAUGCGUAGAUAUCGAGAGGAACACCUGCGGCGAAGGCGGGUUGCUGGGCUGAUACUGACGCUGAGGCGCGAAAGCCAGGGGAGCGAACGGG
rnacentral:rRNA from 1 species